rnacentral:rRNA from 1 species
AUGGUAUGGUCUCUUAUCUUUCGUUGCUACGGCCAUGACUUCGGCCUUCGGCCUUCUAUAUGUUUGCAUGUCCAAUUGUUGUUGAUCGUGUACGCAUUUCAAUCUUUGGAAGCAUUCAAGGCCCAGCACAAUGACAAGCCAUUCACUCGUACGCAUUGUUGGACGCUCAUCAACAAUUGCCCUAAGUUCAAAGAUCAAUACCGCGAACUUCAAAGGAAGAGAGGCAAGAAGACGGUCGCGUUGGCCGGAGGUGGAGAUGGUGAGGCAUUGAAGAGGCCAAGGGGCAAGACCAACUCCAAGAUGGACGAGAAGCGUGAUGCGUCAUCCUUUGCCUUGCACGAGACAUUGCACGACAUGAUGUCUCAAAAGGAUGUGAGGGACGAGAAAAAGCGACAAAGCAAGGAGGACCAAAUGAAGCAAUACCUGGAGCUUCAAAGGAAGAAGCUUGAGAUGGAGGAGGCAGCCAAGAAGAGGAAGAUCGACAUGAAGGAGGCGUCUCGGCAGAGGCAGCUCGACAUCGAGGCCGCCAAUGCCGCGGCCAGGCAGAGGCAGCUCGACAUCGAGGCCACCAAUGCCGCAACCAAAGCAAAAGAGGUGGCGCUAGCGAUCAUGAGCGUCGACAUGAGCAAGAUGAGCGAAAAGACGAGGAGCUGGUUCGAGGCCCGGCAGAAGGAGAUGUUCGACGCCGACAGCCUGAACUAG